rnacentral:tRNA from 1 species
GGGGUUGUGGCUCAGUGGUAGAGCACUUUCCUGGCAUGUGUGAGGCCCUGAGUUUGAUCCUCAGCACCA